rnacentral:rRNA from 1 species
AGGUUGACCUCGGAUCAGGUAGGGAUACCCGCUGAACUUAAGCAUAUCAAUAAGCGGAGGAAAAGAAACCAACAGGGAUUGCCCCAGUAACGGCGAGUGAAGCGGCAAGAGCUCAAAUUUGAAAGCUGGCUCCUUCGGGGUCCGCAUUGUAAUUUGCAGAGGAUGUUUCGGGAGCGGCUCCCAUCUAAGUGUCCUGGAACGGACCGUCAUAGAGGGUGAGAAUCCCGUAUGGGAUGGGGUGUCCGCGCCCGUGUGAAACUCCUUCGACGAGUCGAGUUGUUUGGGAAUGCAGCUCUAAAUGGGUGGUAAAUUUCAUCUAAAGCUAAAUAUUGGCCGGAGACCGAUAGCGCACAAGUAGAGUGAUCGAAAGAUGAAAAGCACUUUGAAAAGAGAGUUAAAAAGCACGUGAAAUUGUUGAAAGGGAAGCGUUUGCGAUCAGACUCGCCUUCGGGGUUCAGCCUGCCUUCGGGCAGGUGUACUUCCCCGUCGGCGGGCCAGCGUCGGUUUGGGUGGCCGGUCAAAGGCCCUGGGAAUGUAACGCCUCUCGGGGCGUCUUAUAGCCCAGGGUGUCAUGCGGCCUACCCGGACCGAGGAACGCGCUUCGGCUCGGACGCUGGCAUAAUGGUCGUAAACGACC